CGGUCACAGUGAAUAAAGCAAAAGGGAUCUGAAAUUGUUGAAUUUUUCUUGACUAUAUGAGUUUAGUCAUAUGAAAACUCAGAAUUUACAAAGUUCUCUCUUCUGCAUUAAAAAAAAGAAAAACACAACAAAUGAUGGAUAAAGUUUUACUGCAGUUUGUAACAAAAUAUUUACAUAAAAACACAAUACUAAAAUGCUAAGAUGAUAAAAAGAAAUCGUGUUUAGAUAUGAAAUAUUUGACUAUUUCCGCUGAUUCUGGUCAGUUCUUUAUUUGUCAGUCAUAUUGCAAAUGAUGCCACCCUGUGGUGAAUUUGCCAAACUACAAUUGUCAGUGUUGAAAAAUGUGAUAUAAUAUUAUUGUACUCCUGCGUAGACUGUCUCAACUGUGUCUGCUGACACAUGUGAACUGUUGGUAUUCUGUUUAGAGUCGUGCAUUUUAACAGUUGAAUAAAGACCACUUUCCCUCCGUAUGUAGGUGCUGUACGGCUCAAUGUCCUCUGACCCCUGCAGAAGCAAAUAUGUUUAAAACAUUAAGGUUACAUAAACAAUAUAAAUGACUAAAAAGUUACAUCUUUUGCUCAGUACCGUGUUUUGAGGUCUAGGAGAUGGUUUUCUGUAAGAGAAACACAAAAACAAACAUGAUUUUGAUCAUCAGUCGCUGCAUCAUGUAGCUCGUUUUAAUGGGGGCAACAGGAAAUGAAAGUCACUGUGUUCCUUCAAUGGCUCAUAUGAAACUUGAAGAAAAGAAAUUGUUUAUAGCAGUGGUGCACUUCCAUUAAUACGAUAAAUACAUCUGAUAAAUUAUUAGCAGGCAGCUAAUUGACUUUAAUCUACUUAAACAUGAGAACAGUAGGGCAAGGUCGUGCUGAAGAAGACGUUACAUCAAAAUGAACUUAAGCUAAAGUGGAUUAACCAAAAUGAAAAGAGCAAAGAGAAUCACAUGUUUUAAAGUUAUGAAGUGUGUUAAAAGGUAAAUCAUGAAACAUAUGAAACACAGCUGUGACAGUGGUUUCUCACCUGUGGCGCAGUCGUGUGUGAAUAAAUCCAA
ensembl:lncRNA